rnacentral:lncRNA from 1 species
GAGCUGGUUUUCUCCAGGGCACUUGCCAAUUUCCAGCAGCAGUGCUAGUAACACAGUGCCGUGGUGAUGAUGAAGUGAAUCAUUGGUACGACACUUUCUGAAUCCUUAGGGGCUCCACCUGAACCAAAGCUUUGAAUGUAACAGUCAUUCAGGUCACUCGGUCUUAUCUUUUCUCACCUUUGGCUCAUGAUAGAAGCUUCCCAUACACAUGGAUGAGCAUCCUAGGGAAGAAGCAGAGUGAGCCUCCGGGGAGUCAGUGCAUGGACAACUCUAGAAGUUUCUAUGGGGAAGAAACCUUGGCAAGGACUUUGGAAUCACACCACUUGAAUAUAUUCAAGAGUGCCAUUUUGCCAGCAUGCCACUGGACAGAUCGCAAGAUGUUUCUAGCAAAAUUGUGGGGCUGUAGUUAUGGAUUGCUUGCUGUGGGGCAGAAGGAAGAGACUAGUCAUUCAGUAAAAGUUGUUGCCUUUUAA